AGUUAGCUUAGUUGGUAGUGCGUCUGCCUUGUAAGCGCUAGGCCGCGGGUUCGAUUCCCGCCGUGACUU
rnacentral:tRNA from 1 species